rnacentral:rRNA from 1 species
CUCAACGGAUAAAAGGUACUCCGGGGAUAACAGGCUGAUACCGCCCAAGAGUUCAUAUCGACGGCGGUGUUUGGCACCUCGAUGUCGGCUCAUCACUCCUGGGGCUGAAGUAGGUCCCAAGGGUACGGCUGUUCGCCGUUUAAAGUGGUACGCGAGCUGGGUUUAGAACGUCGUGAGACAGUUCGGUCCCUAUCUGCCGUGGGCGUUGGAAGAUUGAAAGGGGCUGCUCCUAGUACGAGAGGACCGGAGUGGACGCACCACUGGUGUUCGGGUUGUCAUGCCAAUGGCAUUGCCCGGUAGCUAAGUGCGGAAGAGAUAACCGCUGAAAGCAUCUAAGCGGGAAACUUGCCUUGAGAUGAGUCUUCCCUGACUCUUUAAGAGUCCUAAAGGAACGUUUAAGACUAAGACGUUGAUAGGUUGGGUGUGUAAGCGUAGCGAUACGUUGAGCUAACCAAUACUAAUGAACCGUGAGGCUUAACCUG